UUCCCAGUAGUCUGUUGGCAGGCUAGCAACACUCUGAAUGUUGCCUCCGUUGGUUCGAUUCCAGCCUGGGAAGC
rnacentral:tRNA from 1 species